GAUGAACGCUAGCUACAGGCUUAACACAUGCAAGUCGAGGGACCGGCGCACGGGUGAGUAACACGUAUCCAACCUGCCCUUUACUCGGGGAUAGCCUUUCGAAAGAAAGAUUAAUACCCGAUAUAAAGGAUGGGGAUGCGUUCCAUUACGUUGUUGGUGAGGUAACGGCUCACCAAGCCUUCGAUGGAUAGGGGUUCUGAGAGGAACUUCCCCCACAUUGGAACUGAGACACGGUCCAUACUCCUACCAACAUCAACAAUUAUAAAUAUUAAUCAAUGGGCGCUAGCCUUAACCAGUCAAGUAGCGUGAAUAAUAAAGGCUUAUAAGUCGUAAACUUCUUUUAUAUAAGAAUAUGUAUUAUAUGAAUAAGGAUCGGCUAACUCCGUGCCAGCCGCCGCGGUAAUUC
rnacentral:rRNA from 1 species